UGAGGAAUAUUGCGCAAUGGGCGAAAGCCUGACGCAGCGACACCGCGUGAAGGAUGAAGGCUUUAGGGUCGUAAACUUCUGUUAAGUGGGAAGAAAGACUUAGUCAUAAUACGGCUAGGGAAUGACGGUACCACUAGAGAAAGCACCGGCUAACUUCGUGCCAGCAGCCGCGGUAAGACGAGGGGUGCGAACGUUAUUCGGAAUGAUUGGGCGUAAAGGGUGCGUAGGCGGUUUAUCAAGUCAACUGUUAAAUUUCUCAGCUUAACUGGGAGUAUGCGGUAGAAACUGAUAGGCUAGAGGAUGGAAGAGAGAAGUAGAAUUCUCGGAGUAGCGGUAAAAUGCGUAGAUCUCGAGAGGAACACCGAUGGCGAAGGCAGCCCCCUGGGUCAACACUGACGCUCAUGCACGAAAGCGUGGGGAGCAAACAGG
rnacentral:rRNA from 1 species